CCUGGCUCAGAUUGAACGCUGGCGGCAUGCCUUACACAUGCAAGUCGAACGGCAGCGGACCUUCGGGUGCCGGCGAGUGGCGAACGGGUGAGUAAUAUAUCGGAACGUACCUUUCAGUGGGGGAUAACGUAGCGAAAGUUACGCUAAUACCGCAUAUUCUGUGAGCAGGAAAGCAGGGGAUCGCAAGACCUUGCGCUGAUUGAGCGGCCGAUAUCAGAUUAGCUAGUUGGUGAGGUAAAGGCUCACCAAGGCGACGAUCUGUAGCGGGUCUGAGAGGAUGAUCCGCCACACUGGAACUGAGACACGGUCCAGACUCCUACGGGAGGCAGCAGUGGGGAAUUUUGGACAAUGGGCGCAAGCCUGAUCCAGCCAUGCCGCGUGAGUGAAGAGGGCCUUCGGGUUGUAAAGCUCUUUCGGCCGGGAAGAAAUCGCACGGGUUAAUACCCUGUGUGGAUGACGGUACCGGAAUAAGAAGCACCGACUAACUACGUG
rnacentral:rRNA from 1 species